GACGAACGCUGGCGGCGUGCUUAACACAUGCAAGUCGAACGGAAAGGCCCUGCUUUUGUGGGGUGCUCGAGUGGCGAACGGGUGAGUAACACGUGAGUAACCUGCCCUUGACUUUGGGAUAACUUCAGGAAACUGGGGCUAAUACCGGAUAGGAGCUCCUGCUGCAUGGUGGGGGCUGGAAAGUUUCGGCGGUUGGGGAUGGACUCGCGGCUUAUCAGCUUGUUGGUGGGGUAGUGGCUUACCAAGGCUUUGACGGGUAGCCGGCCUGAGAGGGUGACCGGCCACAUUGGGACUGAGAUACGGCCAAGACUCCUACGGGAGGCAGCAGUGGAGAAUAUUGCACAAUGGGCGGAAGCCAGAUGCAGCAACGCCGCGUGCGGGAUAACGGCCUUCGGGUUGUAAACCGCUUUCGCCUGUGACGAAGCGUGAGUGACGGUAAUGGGUAAAGAAGCACCGGCUAACUACGUG
rnacentral:rRNA from 1 species